rnacentral:lncRNA from 1 species
AUUCAUUCAUUUUCUGGCUUCUAGAUUUUUCUCUUUCUUUUCUCGCCUGCAUGCGGAUUUUCUUCAUCUCCUUCUCUUUUUUUGCUUAAAACUCUCAGAUUGAUCCUUUGUUUUUUAGAUUAACCCUUGAAAAUGGCUUUGACACAGUAACUCGAGGCUUGGUUUUUUAUUCUCUGUGUUUUCGUUUUAAAUCAAAGUUGUUAGGGUUAAGUGGUUGAAGGAUUUGUUUUGGUUUUGUAGAUCCAUGUGAUCGAUAAUCAAAGCCUG